GAGAUUAUCUUCGGAUUGGCAUGUUAUGUUUCUGAAGUUCAAUUUUGCAUUUAAAAAUAUUUCUCUUCUGUUUUUCUUUGAUCACCAGAAUUUACGCAAGCGAACUUCAAAAACGUAGAUAAAAAUUCUUUGUGUGAGAGUAGCUUUGCCACCAGGUCCUGCACGUGAUCAAGCAAUCCUUAUUUGGAAUGAACUUCGGGCUAGUUAGAGGGUUCUUUCUACUGGCAAUGGGACCAUUGGCCUUAAAAUUGUUUUUGCAGUGAUGAUCCUAUGAUGGAUGUUCAAACAUGUUUCAGUAAAUUUUUCAUGUUACUGAAACACAAUCAUUCUUUCAAGACAAGAUUUCUUCAAAGAAGAGGGCCAUGUAGCAAGGGAUUUUCCACAAGGAGGAGGCAUUGGUGGCAGCAAGUUUAACAACUGUCAUGAAGCUGCCCACACCUCGAAAUGCUGUCCAAAUCUAUUCAGUGAAUUGAUGGAAGAUGGAAAGCUGCAUGAACAAUACAUUCUGGAAGCUGUGACAUGCGAUGAAAUGGAACUGAUUAACGGCAUCGUCUGUACGGAACGCUUCAACAAUUUUGCUAAAGUUAUGCUCCAGGUUACAGGAAAAGAUGUACCUCAAUACAUAACAUCAUUCUAAGAAGCAGGCCUGCACCCACUACUACUUCAAAACAUUAAGAAUUCUGGCUACAUAAAACCAACACCUGUACAGAAAGCUUCAUUUACGGUUAUUCUUGCCAAAAGAGAUUUAAUUGCUUGUGCUGUCACGUGCUCCGUCAAAACGGCAAUCCAAUUAAUUAACGCUGUGUAAUUUUGAAACCUCGAUGCCCUCGUACUAACUUGAUUCGAAUGGGCGGUAUGAGCUGGGUAAGUUGAAGUAAAAGUAAUUUUAAGUGGGCACGCCGGUGAUUGCGACUACUAAAAGGUCCAAUUGCAUCUAAGAUACUCAACAACCCCUUCGUGAUAUUCGUUGAUUAUGUCAUCUAAAAUUUCCCAUUUUUCCAUGUAGGUGGCGUACUUGGCACCGGUUAUGAACAUAUUGUUAGAACAAGGUGUUGCUGGUGCGUCUCAGCCAUGGUUCAAAAGCCAGAAGUUGUAAUUGUCGCACCCACUCGUGAAUUGGGCCUUCAAAUUCACCGGGGGCGUGUAAAUUCUCCUACAAUUCGGUUUUAAAAUCUGUGAUUAUAUAUGAGGAACUGUCACGAGCCAUCAGCUGGUAAAUCUUCUAGCUGGGUGCAAUACUCUUGUCGCGACCGCGGGACGACACAAGGAUUUUCUCGACCGUGGGGUAUUUCACUUCACGGGGGUCCGGUUUUAAAUUUUGGACGAAGCUGAUCGAGUGCUUGAUAUGGGUUUCGAAAAAAAAGAAAAAAAAACAACGAAGUCGGUUCUGCCAAAAGAACAUCUGGGAGAAAACUUAUGGUUUUCGAUGUACAAUUGAUGGUGUAGUAGACAAACCUCCGUCAGAGAAAAAAAUGGGGAAUCGGCUACUACGGUUACUACUACAGCUCCACUUUCAAAUACUAACAGAAAAACUGGAAGACAUAGGAAAGAAAGCAAAAUAACGAGACAGACACAGAAAAGUAAGGGGUAACCGCAGCAAAUGUGACGUGUUAAGGUAAACCACGCCAGCAGUGCCAGUAACGAGGUUGCUUCACUUUUGUACGCAAGAAAAAAGCGUGAUAAAGUAGUGGAAGUAGAGAAUGGACCGGACAAAUCAACACUGGCAGAAACUGGUGAGACCAUUGCAGUAAUAAAAACGGCGUUAGCAAACAGUAACGUAUGUGCUUUAUUGUUAUAUGUGUGC